UAACGGGGAAGCUUGCUUCCGCCGACGACCGGCGCACGGGUGCGUAACGCGUAUACAAUCUACCUUGUACUGGGGUAUAGCCUUUAGAAAUGAAGAUUAAUCCCCCAUGGUCUCUUAGAGUGGCAUCACUUCUAGAGUAAAGGUUACGGUAUAAGAUGAGUAUGCGUUCUAUUAGUUUGUUGGUGUGGUAACGGCACACCAAGACUACGAUAGAUAGGGGCCCUGAGAGGGGGAUCCCCCACACUGGUACUGAAACACGGACCAGACUCCUACGGGAGGCAGCAGUGAGGAAUAUUGGACAAUGGAGGCAACUCUGAUCCAGCCAUGCCGCGUGCAGGAAGACUGCCCUAUGGGUUGUAAACUGCUUUUAUACAGGAAGAAACACCUCUACGUGUAGAGGCUUGACGGUACUGUAAGAAUAAGGAUCGGCUAACUCCGUGCCAGCAGCCGCGGUAAUACGGAGGAUCCAAGCGUUAUCCGGAAUCAUUGGGUUUAAAGGGUCCGUAGGUGGAUAAUUAAGUCAGAGGUGAAAUCUUGCAGCUCAACUGUAAAAUUGCCUUUGAAACUGGUUGUCUUGAGUUAUUAUGAAGUAGUUAGAAUAUGUAGUGUAGCGGUGAAAUGCAUAGAUAUUACAUAGAAUACCAAUUGCGAAGGCAGAUUACUAAUAAUCAACUGACACUGAUGGACGAAAGCGUGGGUAGCGAACAGGAUUAGAUACCCUGGUAGUCCACGCCGUAAACGAUGGUUACUAGCUGUUUGGACUUCGGUCUGAGUGGCUAAGCGAAAGUGAUAAGUAACCCACCUGGGGAGUACGUUCGCAAGAAUGAAACUCAAAGGAAUUGACGGGGGCCCGCACAAGCGGUGAGCAUGUGGUUUAAUUCGAUGAU
rnacentral:rRNA from 1 species